GACGAACGCUGGCGGCGUGCUUAACACAUGCAAGUCGAGCGGAGCGGCGAACGGGUGAGUAACGCGUGAGUAACUUCCCCCCUCUCUGGGAUAACAGUUGGAAACGGCUGCUAAUACCGGAUAGUGGGGGAUGACUCGCGGACUAUCAGCUUGUUGGUGGGGUAGUGGCCUACCAAGGCGACGACGGGUAGCCGGGCUGAGAGGGCGACAGGCCACAUUGGGCUGAGAUACGGGCGAAACUCCUACGGGAGGCAGCAGUGUGGAAGAUUGCACAAUGGGGCAAACCAUGAUGCAGCAACGCCGCGUGCGGGAUGGCGGCCUUCGGUUUGUAAACCGCUUUCAGCCAUGACGCGGUAGUGGCAGAAGAAGCACCGGCUAACUACGUGCCAGCAGCCGCGGUAAUAC
rnacentral:rRNA from 1 species